GAGCGGGAGUAGCCAACGUCGCGGCCGAGGUGCUGAUGGAGCAGACGAACUUGCCGAUACACUCGGCCAUUACGGACCCUAGCCCACAUAAUGCGGUAGCUAAUUUAGAUAAAGCAUUAGAGCAUGCAGCCAGCUAGCAUGAACGUCCAUGUAGCUCUUGGAUGAAGAAAUCGAAGCAGGCGUACGCGUUGCCAUGAUGUCCCAAAUGGCGACUUUUGCCGGUUCUCGCAGCGGACGAGGCGAACUUCGACGGUAAUUUGACCAUCAUGAUGCCCCAGAUCAGCUGCAGGUGGUGUCGUCAAGACCAUGUGCCACGCCCAUGAACAGAGCUCUAGACAUCGCUCCGUACCUGCAAAUUUUUUUUUUUUGUGUUGGUGUAGAUGGACACCGACCACGUGAAAUUGAGCCGGCUGCCAACAGCUCUCGGUGGAGGCAGCUGACGAGCCAGACGUGAGCAAAGGAGUCGAUCGACGUGACCACUACGUCUGGCCGAGGCCAGAUGUACCCGGCGCUUAUUCGUGAUCGAUGGAUCAGAGGCGCCUUGGCCGAGCAGCCGUGGCCUCGUUCUUCCCUGCAUGCUGAAAAGAGGGAUUAGAAAAGGAUACCUUUCAGUAUACAUUAAUUGAGACCCUCCAUGCCUCCA
rnacentral:lncRNA from 1 species